rnacentral:rRNA from 1 species
AUUGAACGCUGGCGGCAGGCUUAACACAUGCAAGUCGAGCGGGGGAGGUUGCUUCGGUAACUGACCUAGCGGCGGACGGGUGAGUAAUGCUUAGGAAUCUGCCUAUUAGUGGGGGACAACAUUCCGAAAGGAAUGCUAAUACCGCAUACGCCCUACGGGGGAAAGCAGGGGAUCUUCGGACCUUGCGCUAAUAGAUGAGCCUAAGUCGUAUUAGCUAGUUGGUGGGGUAAAGGCCUACCAAGGCGACGAUCUGUAGCGGGUCUGAGAGGAUGAUCCGCGACACGGGGACUGAGACACGGCCCAGACUCCUACGGGAGGCAGCUGUGGGGAAUAGUGGACAGUGGGCGGAAGCCUGAUCCAGCCAUGCCGCGUGUGUGAAGAAGGCCUUUUGGUUGAAAAGCACUUUAAGCGAGGAGGAGGCUCUUAAGGUUAAUACCCUUGAUUAGUGGACGUUACUCGCAGAAUAAGCACCGGCUAACUCUGUGCCAGCCGCCGCAGUAACAC